UACUCCUACGGGGAGGCAGCAGUAGGGAAUCUUCCGCAAUGGACGAAAGUCUGACGGAGCAACGCCGCGUGAGUGAUGAAGGCUUUCGGGUCGUAAAACUCUGUUGUUAGGGAAGAACAAGUGCUAGUUGAAUAAGCUGGCACCUUGACGGUACCUAACCAGAAAGCCACGGCUAACUACGUGCCAGCAGCCGCGGUAAUACGUAGGUGGCAAGCGUUAUCCGGAAUUAUUGGGCGUAAAGCGCGCGCAGGUGGUUUCUUAAGUCUGAUGUGAAAGCCCACGGCUCAACCGUGGAGGGUCAUUGGAAACUGGGAGACUUGAGUGCAGAAGAGGAAAGUGGAAUUCCAUGUGUAGCGGUGAAAUGCGUAGAGAUAUGGAGGAACACCAGUGGCGAAGGCGACUUUCUGGUCUGUAACUGACACUGAGCGCUAGCUUCCUC
rnacentral:rRNA from 1 species